GGGCUUAUAGCUCAGUGGUAGAGCAAUUGACUGCAGAUCAAUAGGUCCCCGGUUCAAAUCCGGGUGGGCCCU